rnacentral:rRNA from 1 species
GGGUCCGGACACACUGAGGAUUGACAGGCGCUUGUAGUUAUGAGAUUAUUAAUUUAUUAAUAAUUAAAUUUCUGCUAUAAAUAUGCUAGUCCUUUCAUGAUUGUGUGAUAGGUGGUGCAUGGCCGUUCUUAGUUCGUGGAGUGAUCUGUCUGCUUAAUUGCGUUUCACUGUGGACAUUGUUAUAAUAGUGUGUGCACGCAUAACUUCGGUUAUGUUGUUGCCUACUGUUCCAAAUGUCCUGAAGGCAACGAACGUGACCGCAACCUCUUGUUGCCUCUUCCAAAUACUUAUUUUAUUAUCUUUUUUGAUAAUUGAGAUCGGUUUAUAGAGGCUAACUAGAGGGACCGCUGACAACUUUUAAAACAGAGGAAGGUUGCGGCAAUAACAGGUCUGUGAUGCCCUUAGAUGUUCCGGGCUGCACACGUGCUACAAUGAUUAUUGCACUGAGCAUCUAAUUUUAUUAAAAGUUCGUUUGGUUUAAUUUGAUCUUAACAGAUUAAAUAAAACUAACGACAUCUCCUACUUCGAAAGUAAGUAGGU